UACGUAGGAGACGAGCGUUGUCCGGAAUUACUGGGCGUAAAGCGCGUGUAGGCGGACAGGCAAGUCUGCUGUGAAAGCUCCUGGCUUAACCGGGAGUGGUCGGUGGAAACUGCUCGUCUGGAGGACGGUAGAGGUAGGUAGAAUUCCCGGUGUAGUGGUGAAAUGCGUAGAGAUCGGGAGGAAUACCUGUGGCGAAGGCGGCCUACUGGGCCGGACCUGACGCUGAGACGCGAGAGCGUGGGGGAGCAAACCGG
rnacentral:rRNA from 1 species